AUGGCAGCCUUUGGCCCGAUCACCGUCUCCCUAGAAUUCCCUCAGGGCCCCCCUCCUUCACCCUCAAGAAAUGCUUCGCUUGCCGCCGACGAUUUUGUCGAGCUCGCUUUAAGCUCCUCCGACGAUGAUGUGCCGUUCGCUAGGGUUCGCCUGGCUCCUCCUGUUCUGCUUGAUGCUAUCCUUGCUGACAUGCAGCCCGCUGUGCCGCCAUCUACUUCUGUGCUGCCACCUGCCUCUGUCGCCCCAGCCACUCCUCCGGUGCCCUCGGUUAUUGCCUCUAUGCUUUCUGCUGCCAACUGUGCACCUUCUUCGGUCUCCGUUCCUGCCCCCGCAUGUGCUGCUACUGCCGCCAUGCCGGCCCUGGAGUUGGCACCCCCUCCGGUGGUCUACUCUCGCCGUCCCAGGGCUGCUGCGCCUUUGGCUCAGCCCCACGAGGCCAUUGCCAAGAAGAAGCGUGUGUACCGCAAGCGGGCUAGCUUGGUGCUGCAUGUCAGGCGGAGUGCUCGUCUUGCUGAGCUGGAGCCAUACAGGAAGGAGACCAUCCAGGACAAGGCCUCAAAGGCCAAAGCCAAGCGCUUGAUGCUGAGCAGCUCCGCUCGUGACUUCGAGGAUGCAGUGCGUACCGCUCGCCUGUACCCUGAUGCUGCGCAGCCGGGCUCUCCCCGCGCCCUGGCCGCUCUGGCUCUGGAGUGUGGCUCUUCUCCUGACGAGGCCGAAUGGGUGGCCUCAACUGCCGGUGCCUCUGCCAAGUGA
rnacentral:rRNA from 1 species